AAUGGGGGAAACCCUGAUGCAGCAACGCCGCGUGAGUGAAGAAGGCCUUCGGGUUGUAAAGCUCUUUGAGUGGGGACGAAAAAAAUGACGGUACCCACAAAACAAGCACCGGCUAACUUCGUGCCAGCAGCCGCGGUAAUACGAAGGGUGCAAGCGUUACUCGGAAUGAUUGGGCGUAAAGGGCGCGUAGGCGGUUUGGUAAGUUUGGUGUGAAAUCCCGGAGCUCAACUCCGGAAGUGCAUUGAAUACUGCCAGACUAGAGUGUAGGAGGGGAUGGCGGAAUUCCAGGUGUAGAGGUGAAAUUCGUAGAUAUCUGGAGGAACAACAGUGGCGAAGGCGGCCAUCUGGACUACAACUGACGCUGAGGCGCGAAAGCGUGGGGAGCAAA
rnacentral:rRNA from 1 species